rnacentral:lncRNA from 1 species
AGAGUUAGAUAGAUUACUUCUUCCAGAUGAGUUAUCCAGUGGAACCCAGAGAGAUUUUGGGGGUCUAUCAUGAUAUGGAGAUUUGGUGUGACACUCCUCUAGGAUACUAUUAUAAUCCCAACAUCUUCAAAUCGCAUCAACACUCCUCUAGAUUUUGGACAUCAACAUGUAUUUUGUAUUUUAAAUGCAUUAAAAUACAUUCAAUAUUUCAAUUUGUUUUAUUUUAUAUGUUUUUACUUAUAAAUAUAUCGAUUAGUCAUUUGGUCUACUAUUAUUCCCUUUCAUGAUAAGAAAAACAUCAAAAAGACAUCAAAUAUGCAUCAAACCAGAUUAAAUUAGAAAUUAACAAAGAAUUCCAUUACAAUUUUUAACCACAAAUAAAAAAAUAGGAAAUGAAAAAAUGAAAAAGAAAAAAAAGAAAAAAAAAUAUGCCAAGGCGUACCAAGUGUCGGUAGGGUGUCGAACCGGUGUAUCACUGGCCAACCAGUAUGGGUUCCAUUACUAGUUUGGCUUAACAUUGCUUUGGAGAGAUUGAAAACUUGGCUUCUAACAAAAGAUAGACAUAGAUCAACGUAAUUAAUUAUUUUGAAAGCAUCCGUCAAGUGGCUGAGCAUGUUUAUGUAGAAGAAUGUUUAUUUUUAAAUGAAUGAAUUUUCUUUUGUUAUUCUGUGAUUUGUUUGGCUUAAGUUGCUUGUACCGGAGACAUUGUUUCUAAAGAAAAAAUUCGUCCGAUCGCAUCGGAUGUCAAGAAGGUAGAAUAUAUUAGCAAUUGAAAUUUUCAUAAUGUUAUGAAUUCUCACCUUGAUUCACAGUGAAAAAAGAGAUCAAGGUUGAAGAAGCUUCUCUAUCAAUAUGCUUCACGAGAUUCGGACGUGUGAAUCCUCUACUUCGCAUGCACGCUAAACACUGUAGAAAAGAUGGAUGAACGUCUUCUUCGGAGAAGAAGGAGAAGAACUCUUGAGAUCUGAUCUUAAGCCUUGGAAUAGCCCACACGCCGCCACCAAAGAAUGGAGGAUGCCAAGAGGAGAGAAAUGCUUAGGGAGAGGUGAUGCCUAAUAUGAGGGGACACCCACACUAAAAGGAUCUCCACAUCUAGGCCAAGGUUAAUUGAUUAAUUCUCUUCUCCACACCCCUCUUUAAAUAGACAAGAUGUUCUACAUCAAAUCAAACUCCUUAAGAUGAUAGGAACAGGAUUCUCCAUGUUUGAAUCAAAUCCAAACUCCAUAAAAUAUAAAGAUUCCUAAACCAAGUAGGAGAGGCGUCAACUUAUGCCUCCCUUCAUUGUGCCGCAUGCCCAAGGGAAGGGGGUUGUUUCCAGCCCCUUCCCAACCACCUUGAUCGGCCUACAUGGUAAGAGAAUAGCUGAAAAAUAUGGCUAAGUGGAUCAAAUCAGAUUUGGAUCAAUUCGAAUUCAAUUCGAACUCGAUUCGAACCAAUUUUGAAAAGAUUGUUGAUCCUAAUCCAAUUAGAAUUUUUGUCCCAGUCUAACUUGAUAAAUUAAUCCAAUCAAGUCUUAAUAAAAUUAAGUCUAAUUAAAUUAAAUCUGAUCUAAAAUAAUGAGAAUUCUAAUUGAAUCUCUCAUAAUUGCUUAGAUCAUUGAUUUGAUUUAAUUCAUCUCCGAAAUCAAACCCGCACCUCAUGCGCAGUGUUAGCUGAACAUAAUCAGUGUUUAAUUUCGUAUGACCUACAACUUAAUUCUUAAUUAUAUUAAUCUACAUGUUCAAUCAAGUCUCAUACUUUCAAAUUGAUCAUAUAAAUAUUUGAUCUAUUUUUUUCUACAUUGUUUGAUUUUUGUGCACGACUCUAUAGGUUCGAACACUAAGCCGGUAG